UGGGGAAUAUUGGACAAUGGGCGCAAGCCUGAUCCAGCCAUGCCGCGUGAGUGACGAAGGUCUUCGGAUUGUAAAGCUCUUUUGCCAGGGACGAUAAUGACGGUACCUGGAGAAUAAGCCCCGGCUAACUUCGUGCCAGCAGCCGCGGUAAUACGAAGGGGGCUAGCGUUGUUCGGAAUUACUGGGCGUAAAGCGCACGUAGGCGGAUUUGUUAGUCAGGGGUGAAAUCCCGGGGCUCAACCUCGGAACUGCCUUUGAUACUGCAAGUCUCGAGUCCGGAAGAGGUGAGUGGAAUUCCUAGUGUAGAGGUGAAAUUCGUAGAUAUUAGGAAGAACACCAGUGGCGAAGGCGACUCACUGGUCCGGUACUGACGCUGAGGUGCGAAAGCGUGGGGAGCAAACAGGAUUAGAUACCCCAGUAGUCCCUGAGCGGGCUGGCAAGGCGCAU
rnacentral:rRNA from 1 species